rnacentral:lncRNA from 1 species
CCUAUAUUUAAAAAUAUUUUCCUUUUGACCACUGAACAAUUACCUUUUAAUACAUUUAUUAACUUAUGAUUUUCAACAUUUUAUUUUUACUUUUUUCUUCUCUAGGAAGUACGAAUGGCAACACGAAAUCAGUUGAAAUCUACUUUCAGUAUUUGCUUAAAAAAUCUGUUGAGCAAUGCAAAGAACAUUCAUUGAAAAAUAUCCAGUGGGAAAAUGGGAGCCAGACCCUAGUGAAAGCUGUUUUGGCUCAAGCUAGAGACCUGAAGAAGUUGAUCUGGUGAAAGGCGGAAGGAUUUGGAUGGCAUCCGAUGUCAAGAGGAAGCUGGGAAUCCACCUUUGGGAUUGGAUGGAGAUAGAGCCCUUCUGAUACCACGUAUAUUGAAAGAAUGGAAAAAAUCAUUUUCUCCUUUCACCUCUCUUCUCUUCCCUCUCCCUUCUCACUUCUCUUUCUUCUCUUUCCCCCUGUCUCUCCCCUCCCUCUCCUUCCUGUGCACAGCGUCAUCCAGGCCUUCUAAUAAAGAGUUUGGUUUCUUUCUAGCACAGUGUUGAUUCCACUGUGAGAUGCUGCAUCUCCAGAGGAGACAACCCUACUUUUACUGUGGCCAGGAGUGAACAAAUAUGUGAACAUCAGGAAUACAUGAAAAAUGUCUAGGGAGAACUAUAUGCAGCCAUAGAGUCAGAGUUGAUCCAAGGAACCGUGUGCAACAUUGAAUAGGAGCCACUGGGUUUUUCUUAAUCCCUCCUCUUUGGAAAGUAGGCUGCAGUGCACUAAAUGUUCUUAUAAGAUUUGUAUGAUGAUUGAAGUUCAUAUGCAUCUCUCAGAAUAGUGCCUAGUAUGUAGUAAAUGCUUACAAUGCUAGCUAUUAAUAACU